UUUCUGCUUUUCUUCUACAGGCAACUACAUCUGACUUGUAUGAAGAAGAAAACCUUGCAGGAUCCACAUGGCUGGAAAGGGCAUCAGUAAUGUUUGACAUUGUUUAAGCUUCUGGAAGCACUGAUUUGAACUCUGCAGUGCCUCUGGGAUUUGUAUGAUACACAAGCUUAGUAACUGAAGCAACACACAGAACCCGGAAUCCCUACAGCAAGCCAUGAAGGCUUGAGAAAUCCAGCUUCCUGUAAUUUCACUACUCAUUCUUCAUGGUGACUUGAGGAUGCUUUGUGUUAAAACACUAAGUCCAUGUGGAAGGACCAGCGGAACAGCACUGACAGCAACUUGGAU
rnacentral:lncRNA from 1 species